ACAAAGCAUGAAAGUCAAAUAUUGUUGGAUUAGAACAGCGCAAGUGUUUACGAUACCUAAAACCUGUACAGGUACGGCGCUAUUUUUAGUUCAGUAGGAAAUGAUCGGUCGUUCUUUCAAGUCGCAUUGGGUGGUGAGCGACAUUUACACCGAAACGGAGGAAAAAUUACAUUGUCAGAAAGUGUAGGGGGACGUUUUAAUGCAUUCAUCGGCAACUGCAUUCUCGUAGCGAAGUUCACAGUGGUGAAACUGUCCCGUUGCAGAUUGAAUCAAGCCGCUUCUGACAGAGGAACACGUACCUCCCGGAGUUCAUGGAUUUUAUUCUACAUAACAAACCAAGACUUAUUGUGGAUAUUUCAGUAUGGCAUUGUGUAUGUAGGAUUAUACAACCUAAAACUUUGGAAUUGUAAAUCAAAAAAUGCCGACACCGUCCAGGGAGGAUGAAGGUACGAUAUUUUGACGUAAUUUUUGCCGCCAUUCUAUACUGUAUCGUGGCAAAGACUGCUUCCUGCCCGCCGCCAUGUAGAUGCAAUCAGAAGUUGUAUACUUACUGUGACAACGCUUCCUUAACCGCCAGUCAGCUGAGUGAGGUGCUGCUAAACACCCCGACAACCACGACGUACUUGGACCUUAGUCUGAACAGGAUUUCCUACCUCCCUGACAAAAUUUUCGACAUCCACCCCCAGCUAACUAAUAUAAAUUUUGCUAAGAACGCUAUAGGAAGCAUAUCUCCGAAAGUUUUAGUGCCGUUGACACACUUGAGGAAGUUGUUCUUAGAAGAGAAUAAGCUAGUUGUUAUCAAUUCUGGAGUAUUUUCUUCACUCAAGGAGUUGGAGGUUCUAAGACUCGAGAAGAAUAAAAUCGAGGAUAUUCAUAAUACCAGCUUUGAAAAUUUGAUCAAUUUAUCCGAACUUUAUCUAAAUGACAACCAUUUAUUUGAAAUCCCUUCUUUGUUAUUCUCAAAGACAACGAGCUUACGGGUAUUGGAUCUUUCAGAUAACCUUAUAGAGUAUAUCCAUGAUGGAACAUUCAAACAUUUGAAGAACUUGGAAGUUUUAUCGCUUGCAAGAAACAGAAUUCGUGUGUUGCAGCAUUUCACGUUAGGAGGACUAGUCAGUUUAAAGCAUCUGAGUCUGCGCGAAAACAGACUGACAGUGUUACGGACGCUGGAUCUGGAUCCCGUGCGGAACAAUUUAAGGGAACUAGAUUUAUCGUCUAAUAGACUAACAGCAGUCAGUAGCAACGUGUUUAGGAAUAUGGUGCAUCUACAGACUUUGAAUAUCAGCAGAAAUAAUAUUGAAUUUAUCAACGACAGUGCGUUUUUUGGAUUAUCUUUAGACAAGCUGUCACUGAAUGGCAAUAAGUUAACCCAGCUUUGGAGGUCGUCUUUUCGCGGAGUGCAGAGGAUUGCUUAUUUAGAUUUCAGUUCUAAUGAAAUUUUGCGCAUAGAAACGGGAACAUUUGACAGUUUCAACGAAUUCAUAUUUGUGUUGAAUCUCUCCAAGAAUAAACUCACCAAACUACAAUAUGGAAUGGUUCGGGAUAUGAGAUAUCUACAUGUGUUAAAUUUAGCUCAGAAUCAAAUAGAUCAAGUUGUGAACACCGCUAUGAAAGACUUAAUAAACCUCCAAGAUCUUGAUAUUAGUGAAAAUGAAUUCACCGUCAUAAAUGCCAAGGACUUUGUGGGUCCUCUCAAUUCUCUUAAACGGUUUUCCCUGCAAUGUAAUACGUUAACUAGAUUUGAGAGUUUCAAUUUUAUCAGUGCAGUCCAUGUUUCAAUGAAUCUGACUCUUUCCAACGUCCAAUCUAGAUCUGUGACUGUUUCUUGGCCGUAUACAAAUGGACAUCAGAAAUACUGGUCUAUGACCGUAAAAUGUGUGGACUCCAACGCUUGCACUUACGACUCACAACCCGAAUAUUUACCAGCGUACGUGGACAGUCACGUGAUAUCCAAACUGUUGCCAUUAUCGCGUUAUUACGUGUGUAUCAAUCCAGAAUUUGUGCAGAAAAAUGUCCACGUGGAACAGUGUCUUUUCAUUAUGACGUCAGAAGAUGUGGUCACCCCCACAAGACCACCUCCUGUCGUAGUUAACUCAUUAGCGACAUCUGGUGGUUAUUCAUUAAGGACUAGACUUUGUGCAAUUUUUUCACUGAUCUUAUUUAUUGUUUUGCGUGUGUUGGUAUUGAUUUGAUAUCUGAAUAUACAUGUUUUAAUCAGAUAUCCUUAAAUACUAUGCAAUAUUUGAAAUGAAUUAAGAUAUCAAAUCGUGGCAUUAAAUUUCAUUUUCUUUUCACAGAAACCAAUACUUUCAGGUUUUCAAUAUUAACAAAUAAUUCGAUGACGUGGGAUAAUGCGACUGUGGAUUAGCUACAUUGUACAAGCUUUGUAGUGAUAAGGAAAUUCGUGUGAAAUCGCGAUCUACGAAAUGUUUGAUUUAUAUAUCCCCUCUCGGUAAUUCACUAUUGAUUUUAGGAGAUCAGUUUAAAGAUGGAACUAGACGUUCACAGAGGAUAGGAAAAGCUGACCACGUUCACUUCUGACAACGAGCAAUAUACCGCAAAUGAAUUAAAAUGGACUUCUAGCAUAAGGCAAACUUACCUGGUGAGGACAAUUUCGCGAAAAUAGCGCCCUCUACACCCGAUAGAUCU